UGUUAGGGCACGACACCGGAGAGGGAGCCUGAGAAACGGCUACCACAUCCAAGGAAGGCAGCAGGCGCGCAAAUUACCCAAUCCCGACACGGGGAGGUAGUGACAAUAAAUAACAAUACAGGGUUCUUUUGGAUCUUGUAAUUGGAAUGAGUACAAUUUAAAUCUCUUAACGAGGAACAAUUGGAGGGCAAGUCUGGUGCCAGCAGCCGCGGUAAUUCCAGCUCCAAUAGCGUAUAUUAAAGUUGUUGCAGUUAAAAAGCUCGUAGUUGAAUUUCGGGAUCAAUGUUUCGGUCAUGCCGUUGGUAUGUACUGAUAUUAUUGGUUUCUCACCUUCUAAAGAACCGUAAUGCCAUUAAUUUGGUGUCACGGGGAAUUAGGACUGUUACCUUGAAAAAAUUAGAGUGUUUAAAGCAGGCUCACGCUUGAAUACAUUAGCAUGGAAUAAUGAAAUAGGACAUCCGAUUCUAUUUUGUUGGUUUCUAGGAUCGAUGUAAUGAUUAAUAGGGAUAGUUGGGGGCAUUAGUAUUCAAUUGUCAGAGGUGAAAUUCUUGGAUUUAUUGAAGACUAACUACUGCGAAAGCAUUUGCCAAGGAUGUUUUCAUUAAUCAAGAACGAAAGUUAGGGGAUCGAAGACGAUCAGAUACCGUCGUAGUCUUAACCAUAAACUAUGCCGACUAGGGAUCGGAUGAUGUUAAUUUUUAUGACUCAUUCGGCGCCUUACGGGAAACC
rnacentral:rRNA from 1 species